UGUACCCCCAGCGUUAAGCAAUGCAUGACUGUACACAUAAAACCUAUACAACCAGGAAUCAAGUGGCCAAGGCUAGAAGCACAUGUGUCCAGCCAUGCGUAGAAGCAACACGGAGUUUCUACUGACACCGAACUUCACCUGAGUUUCGAGGCCCUGCAAAAGGAUGGUCAAGAAGCUCCACCUUCCACGUUCCAGAAAUGGUUCCCUGCGAAGAUCACCUUCCUCGCAGGUCGGGCCGGACGCGGAUACACCCGCCUCCGUAGGCCUGAGCGAGCCUGAGCGUCUGGGCGCGCCGAGUCCCCGCCGAGGAAACGUCCCAUGUGGAGACACGAG
rnacentral:lncRNA from 1 species